GCCGUGGCUGUAUGUCAGAGAAACAGCCUGGGGUGCCGUGGCUGUAUGUCAGAGAAACAGCCUGGGGUGCCGUGGCUGUAUGUCAGAGAAACAGCCUGGGGUGCCAUGGCUGUAUGUCAGAGAAACAGCCUGGGGUGCCAUGGCUGUAUGUCAGAAAUACAGAGCUAGGUGCCGCUGGUCUCUGUCUCUGUAGUAGGAGGGAGGCCUCCUUUGCUAGCAAGUGAAAACUGUGCCUGAUACUCAACAAAGAGAUCCAUUGUUUUUGGUGCUGUUGGUUAUUAUUACUGUAUAACAAUACAAAAGAAAGGUGGGGUGCUGGCUAACUGCUAGCCCCCUCUCCCACAGGGCGGUAGCCUCUAGGCUCUUCUCUCUCAUAGGGUUCUAGGCUCUCCUCUUGCAUAGGGUUAGGGUUCUAGGCUCUCCUCUUGCAUAGGGUUAGGGUUCUAGGCUCUCCUCUCGCAUAGGGUUAGGGUUCUAGGCUCUCCUCUCUCAUAGGGUUAGGGUUCUAGGCUGUACUCUCUCAUAGGGUUAGGGUUCUAGGCUCUCCUCUCUCAUAGGGUUAGGGUUCUAGGCUCUCCUCUCUCAUAGGGUUAGGGUUCUAGGCUCUACUCUUCUCGAUGUGCAAUCAUGUUAACAUUCCAUUCUUCCAGUCCUACUGUUUCAUCUGUACCAGUAAACAUUAAUAAUUUUAUUAUUUUCUAUUUUGAUUGUGUUUUUGUUCUGAUGUGCGAGUAGAGUCACUAGUCAAAGGGUGUGAAAUGUGAAAUAUGGAAAUCCAAGUUUUCUUUUGGUGUGUGUGUGUGUAUUUUAGGUUUUUCCCUUUUUCAGAUGUAUUAUGAAUUAUUUUAGCAGAAGGUCCAACACAACAUAAAUUUUUGUACAUAAUCCUGUAAAUGUCUUUAAAUACUCAAGCCUUUUCUGGGGUGAAGGAAGGAAAAUGAUACCUCUAAAGGUAUUACAGGAAGCAAGGGAGGAAGUGCUUGAUGAAGAAAAGCCUUACGUUUCAGUUUCUUCAUCUGUGUGAGUUUGAUGCUUACAGGGUUGCUCUGGUUACGUGUAUACAUUUUAAGUGCUGCUUACAUCACUAAGACAAAGAUAUGGAGUAGCUAUGGCCCCCUAGUUUUUUUUCUGUUUUUUUUCUUUAGCUUUACUUUUUUAAAGAAAAGGGAAAAUAUGUUCACAAAAAUGUACUGAAAAUUCAACAAUGUAGUAGCUCCUCAUGUUGCACUGAGCUUGCCAGUGGUGGCUGACAAGGUGAUCCUAUUAUCCAGUUUGUUGGUUGUUGUUGUCCUUUACAGAAGACUGAACUGUUUUAGGAAUAUUUAAUGAAAACCAAGUCGGUCGUUUUCAACAAAAAAGUGGUUGUCAAGUUUUUAUGGCCUUACAAUGUAUUUUAUUCAGAUUUCUUUGCAAUUUUCUUUUUCUACAGUAUAAACUAUUGCUCACGGUCUGGCAAGUUAAUUUAUUAGCACUGCGUCUCCAUCUUUCCUUCAACUUGGAAAGAGUUCAUGUUGGUUAUAUUGCCAGUUUUUUACUUUUGCAGUUUGUACUAAAGGUUUAAUAAAAACGUACAGACAAUUCACUGUCUUUUCUU
rnacentral:lncRNA from 1 species